UUAUAUUUAAUAGAAUUAAACUAUUUCUAAAAGUAUCAAAAACUUUUGUGCAUCCUACACCAAAAUAUA
rnacentral:tRNA from 1 species